GAUUUUAUUAUUACCUUCAGUCUAGUCCAUUGAUAAUUAAUAAAAAUAAUUUAAAGCAAUUAUAUUUUAGACUAGACUGAAGGUGUGCGUAGUUCUUGGCUUACCAUCGCUUUUCGAAAACUAUUAAUGAUGAAGAUAUUUUUUUAAAUGAAAUAUAUGAAAAACGAUGCCAAUUACCGGGUCUCACCCACGAGGAGGUGACUACGCAUCGAGACCCAUCUGGUUAAAUUUAUUUAACAAAAUGAUUAAUACAUUAAAGUGAUACAAUUAAUUGUCUAUAAAUUAAAUCUUAAACGUAA